AUGAGUAACACAACCAUCUCCAUCAUGAACUGGACUGUUCGGGGCCUGAACUCGCCGGCUAAGAGAGCAACCAUUUGUGAGACAGCCAACGCUCACAACCUCGCUCUCCUCUGUCUGCAAGGGACCAAGAUAGAUGCAUGGACACAGGGCAUCGUCAGAGAGAUCGAUGGUGGCCGUCUGGACAACUGCGCCGUGCUCCCGGCCGUGGGUACGCGCGGCGGGGAAGCAAUCUUCUGGGACUCCACCAAGGUCAUCGUGGCUACACACUCUGUGGGGCAGUUAUCCAUCACUACCAGUGUCCUCUAGCUGCGCACCAACACUUCUUUCUGGUUAACAACAUUGUACGGCCCCGCCGACGAAGCCAGGAAAGAUGAGUUCCUCGAUGAGAUGAUCAGAAUCAGGCCGCCCCACGGUGAGCCAUGGCUGAUCAACGGAGAUUUCAACAUCAUCUACGAGGCAAGAGACAAAAGCAACCACAACUUGAACAGUAGAAUUAUGGGCAGAUUCAGAGACGCCAUUGACAGGGCAAGCCUGAAAGAAAUCAAGUGC
rnacentral:rRNA from 1 species